AGGAAGACUGAGCAGGCACACAGGAUCCUUCACAUCCCUCUGAAGUGAGCAGUUGGCACAUGGGGACAGUACUUGCUGUACUCACAGGUAGUAGUUGGGACAGCAGUACCUGUCUCACAUUUAACUAUGAACUCUUUGAAGAUAAAAAAAAAAAAAAAAAUGGUAUCAUUCACCUUCAUGGCACCUUUAUUCCUAGAAAAAAAAAGCUCUGCCUAAAAGAAAGCAUUAAGAAUUGGAACAAGUGGGCUG